rnacentral:rRNA from 1 species
GCUUACCAUGCAGUCGUAACAAUGGAUAACCUUCGGUGGGGAUUAGUGGCGAACGGGUGAGUAACACGUGGGCAAUCUGCCCUGCACUCUGGGACAAGCCCUGGAAACGGGGUCUAAUACCGGAUACUGACCCGCUUGGGCAUCCAAGCGGUUCGAAAGCUCCGGCGGUGCAGGAUGAGCCCGCGGCCUAUCAGCUAGUUGGUGAGGUAAUGGCUCACCAAGGCGACGACGGGUAGCCGGCCUGAGAGGGCGACCGGCCACACUGGGACUGAGAACACGGCCCAGACUCCUACGGGAGGCAGCAGUGGGGAAUAUUGCACAAUGGGCGAAAGCCUGAUGCAGCGACGCCGCGUGAGGGAUGACGGCCUUCGGGUUGUAAACCUCUUUCAGCAGGGAAGAAGCGAAAGUGACGGUACCUGCAGAAGAAGCGCCGGCUAACUACGUGCCAGCAGCCGCGGUAAUACGUAGGGCGCAAGCGUUGUCCGGAAUUAUUGGGCGUAAAGAGCUCGUAGGCGGCUUGUCACGUCGGUUGUGAAAGCCCGGGGCUUAACCCCGGGUCUGCAGUCGAUACGGGCAGGCUAGAGUUCGGUAGGGGAGAUCGGAAUUCCUGGUGUAGCGGUGAAAUGCGCAGAUAUCAGGAGGAACACCGGUGGCGAAGGCGGAUCUCUGGGCCGAUACUGACGCUGAGGAGCGAAAGCGUGGGGAGCGAACAGGAUUAGAUACCCUGGUAGUCCACGCCGUAAACGGUGGGCACUAGGUGUGGGCAACAUUCCACGUUGUCCGUGCCGCAGCUAACGCAUUAAGUGCCCCGCCUGGGGAGUACGGCCGCAAGGCUAAAACUCAAAGGAAUUGACGGGGGCCCGCACAAGCGGCGGAGCAUGUGGCUUAAUUCGACGCAACGCGAAGAACCUUACCAAGGCUUGACAUACACCGGAAAGCAUCAGAGAUGGUGCCCCCCUUGUGGUCGGUGUACAGGUGGUGCAUGGCUGUCGUCAGCUCGUGUCGUGAGAUGUUGGGUUAAGUCCCGCAACGAGCGCAACCCUUGUCCCGUGUUGCCAGCAAGCCCUUCGGGGUGUUGGGGACUCACGGGAGACCGCCGGGGUCAACUCGGAGGAAGGUGGGGACGACGUCAAGUCAUCAUGCCCCUUAUGUCUUGGGCUGCACACGUGCUACAAUGGCCGGUACAAUGAGCUGCGAUACCGCGAGGUGGAGCGAAUCUCAAAAAGCCGGUCUCAGUUCGGAUUGGGGUCUGCAACUCGACCCCAUGAAGUCGGAGUCGCUAGUAAUCGCAGAUCAGCAUUGCUGCGGUGAAUACGUUCCCGGGCCUUGUACACACCGCCCGUCACGUCACGAAAGUCGGUAACACCCGAAGCCGGUG